rnacentral:rRNA from 1 species
AACGAACGCUGGCGGCAUGCCUAACACAUGCAAGUCGAACGAGACCUUCGGGUCUAGUGGCGCACGGGUGCGUAACGCGUGGGAACCUGCCCUUAGGUUCGGAAUAACUCCCCGAAAGGGGUGCCAAUACCGGAUAAUGUCUUCGGACCAAAGAUUUAUCGCCCUUGGAUGGGCCCGCGUUGGAUUAGCUAGUUGGUAGGGUAAAAGCCUACCAAGGCGACGAUCCAUAGCUGGUCUGAGAGGAUGAUCAGCCACACUGGGACUGAGACACGGCCCAGACUCCUACGGGAAGCAGCAGUGGGGAAUAUUGGACAAUGGGCGAAAGCCUGAUCCAGCAAUGCCGCGUGAGUGAUGAAGGCCUUAGGGUUGUAAAGCUCUUUUACCCGGGAUGAUAAUGACAGUACCGGGAGAAUAAGCUCCGGCUAACUCCGUG